ensembl:lncRNA
AAAUUAAUAAAAAAUAUUUAAGAAAAUACAAAACAACAAAAUUGCAAAAAUUUUAACUAAAAUGAGUAAAAACAAAAAAUAAAAAAUUGAAAUCUAAUUUAAAAUAAAUAAGAACUAUAAGAGUUUAUCAAUGAUACUAAAACUAAAAAAACUAAUGAAAAAAAGACACUGCUUUACACAAAGUUAACUAAAACUAAAACCAUAAAAUAAACAUUUUCAUAAUUUGAAAUAAAAUAAAAUAUAUUGAAAACAUAAAAGUAUUUUAUUUCAUCUAAUUGUCAAGGCAGCAUUUCUUAUUUUCAUUUAGUUUAACUUAAAUUACUAAUAUAAUUAAAACUAAAUAAACCAAGAAAUAAAAUUAAUAAAAACUACACAGACAUAUAUAUUAGGUACUAAUAAUGUCAAAAAUGCAAAACAAAAUUACAAAAAAUUUAAUUAAAAUUAAAGUGAAAUCAUAAAAAAUAAAAUCGAAUUUAAAAUAUUAACAGGAACUAUAAUAGUAUAUCAGUGAUGCUAAUAGAACACAGCUUUAGACAAAAUCAUUCACAUACAGUAGAAGAACAGAGAUAUAAAAUUUAAAUAUGAUAGUAGAUGAGAAAUGCUGUGAAUUUGUGAAUUUCAGAAUUUCAGACAUUGUUUCUCUAAUUCUCUCUAUUUUCUUCUAUUGAGACAUUAAAGAGGUUUGAACGCUCUCAUACUGUAGUAAAACAUUAAACCACACAGACUCUUAUCUGUUUCCAGGUAAACUGCGGCUCAGGACGCUCUGAAUGGAGUCCAGCAAGCUCGUAAUUUUACAUGUGUCCUUUGCACCACGCUUGUGACUCGGGUGGAAAUGGGUGUCAAAGGUGAGCGCAAAUCUGACAAAUACAGAAAUACAGACAGCAGGUCAAGGACGGCAGGUAGUUCAAGGGAAGGGCGGAGCCAGCUAAUGGUUACACUGAGUUAAACAAAUGAGCAGAGGGGGCGAGUCACAGAGGGGGCGGAGCCAGAGCCACAAACAGACACACCCACACAAGCAAAGUGAUUAUCUCAGUGGAAAAAUGGUCCAGAUGUCUCCUGCAUCCCUGCAGAUUCAUGUUCUCUUUUUUUAAGUAUCACAGCAGGAGCGGCCCAGAAUGACCUAGAUCUGUAAAGGAGCGACGGCGGGACGUGCUGAGACGCUUACAGACAGAAAUACUGCUUAUUUUAGUGUUCCACAUGCACUUUUACGUAAAAAGUUUUUAUUAGACUCACUGUAAUUCAUUGUUGGUCAUAUUUAGUAUUCAACCAAUAAAGGGCAUGAUAUCAGCUGCUGUAAUGUCUAU